rnacentral:rRNA from 1 species
GAUGAACGCUGGCGGCGUGCCUAAUACAUGCAAGUCGAGCGAACAGACGAGGAGCUUGCUCCUCUGACGUUAGCGGCGGACGGGUGAGUAACACGUGGAUAACCUACCUAUAAGACUGGGAUAACUUCGUGAAACCGGAGCUAAUACCGGAUAAUAUAUUGAACCGCAUGGUUCAAUAGUGAAAGACGGUUUUGCGGUCACUUAUAGAUGGAUCCGCGCCGCAUUAGCUAGUUGGUAAGGUAACGGCUUACCAAGGCAACGAUGCGUAGCCGACCUGAGAGGGUGAUCGGCCACACUGGAACUGAGACACGGUCCAGACUCCUACGGGAGGCAGCAGUAGGGAAUCUUCCGCAAUGGGCGAAAGCCUGACGGAGCAACGCCGCGUGAGUGAUGAAGGUCUUCGGAUCGUAAAACUCUGUUAUUAGGGAAGAACAAAUGUGUAAGUAACUAUGCACGUCCUGACGGUACCUAAUCAGAAAGCCACGGCUAACUACGUG